CAGCGCAAUGGAUAGCUUGUUGGAUUACUAUUCCAAAGGUCAAGGGUUUGAAUCCCACCUGGAAGU